AGCGGCGAACGGGUGAGUAACACGUGAGCAAUCUGCCCUUCUCUUUGGAAUAACCAUUGGAAACGAUGGCUAAUGCCGAAUAUGACCUCCCUUCGCAUGUUGGGAGGUGGAAAGCUCCGGCGGAGAUGGAUGAGCUCGCGGCCUAUCAGCUUGUUGGUGAGGUAAUGGCUCACCAAGGCAUUGACGGGUAGCCGGCCUGAGAGGGUGACCGGCCACACUGGGACUGAGACACGGCCCAGACUCCUACGGGAGGCAGCAGUGGGGAAUAUUGGACAAUGGGCGAAAGCCUGAUCCAGCAACGCCGCGUGAGGGAUGACGGCCUUCGGGUUGUAAACCUCUUUCAGCAGGGACGAAGCGAGAGUGACGGUACCUGCAGAAGAAGGACCGGCCAACUACGUGCCAGCAGCCGCGGUAAUACGUAGGGUCCGAGCGUUGUCCGGAAUUAUUGGGCGUAAAGGGCUCGUAGGCGGUUUGUCGCGUCGGGAGUGAAAACUCAGGGCUCAACCCUGAGCGUGCUUCCGAUACGGGCAGACUAGAGGUAUGCAGGGGAGAACGGAAUUCCUGGUGUAGCGGUGGAAUGCGCAGAUAUCAGGAGGAACACCGGUGGCGAAGGCGGUUCUCUGGGCAUUACCUGACGCUGAGGAGCGAAAGCAUGGGGAGCGAACAGGAUUAGAUACCCUGGUAGUCCAUGCCGUAAACGUUGGGCGCUAGGUGUGGGGACCUUCCACGGUCUCCGUGCCGCAGCUAACGCAUUAAGCGCCCCGCCUGGGGGAGUACGGCCGCAAGGCUAAAACUCAAAGGAAUUGACGGGGGCCCGCACAAGCGGCGGAGCAUGCUGAUUAAUUCGAUGCAACGCGAAGAACCUUACCUGGGUUUGACAUA
rnacentral:rRNA from 1 species